GCCUACGAUUUCUUUAACAUUGCUGCAACAAGACAUCUCAUGUACGUAUGUGGCUAAAUAUUAAGAAGAGUCGUGCGGCCCUAUUUCCUAUUUUUUUGUGCUCUCACCCCUCACAAUGUUGGGUAGCUGGAGGGAAAGCGGGGUUUCGGGUGGAAAAAGCUAAAAUAGAGCCAAAUACCGCCUCUCACCACCAAAACUAAACAGGGAGCUGCACUACUGCUACUGCUGCUGGUGCUGCUCUAUUUCAUAUUUACCGGUUUAGUUAGGUUAGAUUAGGUAUAAUUAAGUUUAGUUAGAAUGGUAGCAGCAAGAGCAAGAACACAGCGGCCAUCACAACAACAUGAACAGCAACAGUAGUGCAGCUCCCUAUUUAUUUUUAGUGGUAAGAGGCGAUAAUUGGCUCUAUAUUACCUUUCCACACCCGAAAACCCCGCCUUCCCACCAGCUUCCCUUCACUGUAGGGGACACGAACCGAAAACCCCGCCUUCCCACCAGCUUCCCUUCACUGUAGGGGACACGAACCGAAAAAAAAAAAAAAAAAUAGGAGAGAGGGCUGCACGAUUCUUCUUAAUAUUUCCCCGUAAUGGUAUAUACACACAUGCAUGUGAGAAUAUGAUAAGAAUUGUCUGCUGUAUGGAUCAUGUACACCUUCAGAAACUGACAACGGAGUUUUAAUACAGACCAGAACAAAAAUUAUAUGUUUUGAUAUGAGAGAGUGAUAUGAUCAGUGCGUAUGAAGUUAACACAAAAUAUGAUGUAAUCUUGAAUAUGUACGGGUGCCUUUAAUUUAUUAGGAAAAAAAUAUAUAUAUACCAUUCAGGAGAAAAUUCGUUUGUUUUAUAAUUGGGUAUUGUGUCAUGAAUCACGAUGUCUUGAGUACCUGACGGGAGUCGUGGUUGUUCGUAUUCGCCCGGGUUUCGGGACGGUCCUGUGUAUUGCCAUGUUUUUCUUGUUUUAUGCAUUUUUGUAUGUAUAUUUGUAGAUCAUAUUAUGAAUAUUUAUUUUUGUGUGCCUUUUGCAUAUUACUUAGGUGAGGCUUAGUAUAUAAUUAUAGGGAAGUGAGGUGUUAUCAAGUGCGUUCUGGGUGGCCAGUGGUGACGUGACCAGGGCUGUGUCAACACCAGGGUGGUGUUGGUUGUGUGGGGUGCACCUGGGCCCUGUGUUGGCCUUUGAAGGUGUUGCUUGAGUCUCGCCUUCGCACUCCGAGGACACUUUGAAUUCAUGGUGCUUUAGGUGCUCGUGGUCUUCGUCAGCCUUCGUGACCGUCCAUGCUCGUAACGUCUUCUUGUGCUCCUUGUUCGGCGCCUUGAAACAGAGGAAGAGAGAAUAAGAGGCUAAUUUUGUCCUCUUUAGGCUACAUUAUACAAGUGACUGCAGUACAAACACAUCUAAAUAAUAUAUAGACAAAACCAUCCAGCAUUCAGUAGCCCCAUCGCGCUGGUCAGUAGAGGACCCGUGGCCACCAGACGCAGCGGAACCUUUCUGGGUCGUAACGUGAUGACCCGGGGGACGUAAAUAGCCAGACGACGCGAGGAGGAAAGUGCGGGAGACUGGAACGAAGCGACUGCAGUGUUUUGAAGGAUGAUGCCGCCGAAGUCCCGAGUGGCUUCGAGACAAGGAAGAGAAGCCACGCGACUCACUUGAGCCAGUCAGUCAGUGGUCAGUGGCGUCAGCUUCGUUGUGGUGUACGUGUGAGUCUUCUGUGUUUUCUUGGACGCUUAUUUGGGCUCUAGGUGAACCAAAACUCUCCCAAAGCUUGUCCACAGUGGUCAGCAGUGUUUGGUGAUGCCGCUUGACACUCAUCACUCGUACACUGACAGAAGCAGGAAACAAAUGCCAUUCAUGAAGAGCGAACACCGGAACGAGUCGUCAAAUUUGGAAGUCAGCGGGGACACCAGCCAGACAACAGAGGACGGGACAAUUUUUUCAGGCAACUGUUACGAACACACGGGAAUAAUCAAUGCAGCUAAGCAGAGCAU